GUGUAGGAUAGGCGGGAGAUGUUGAAGCGGCUUCGCCAGGAGUCGUGGAAUCAACCUUGAAAUACCGCCCUUUCUGUAUCCGGUUUCUAACUCGGUAUUACCGAGGACAUUGUUUGGUGGGUAGUUUGACUGGGGUGGUCGCCUCCAAAAAGGUAACGGAGGCUUUCAAAGGUAAGCUCAGUACGCUUGGUAACCGUACGCGGAGUGCAAUGGCAUAAGCUUGCUUGACUGUGAGACCUACAAGUCGAACAGGGUCGAAAGACGGACAUAGUGAUCCGGUGGUUCUGUAUGGAAGGGCCAUCGCUCAAAGGAUAAAAGGUACGCUGGGGAUAACAGGCUGAUCUCCCCCAAGAGCUCAUAUCGACGGGGAGGUUUGGCACCUCGAUGUCGGCUCGUCACAUCCUGGGGCUGGAGAAGGUCCCAAGGGUUGGGCUGUUCGCCCAUUAAAGUGGCACGCGAGCUGGGUUCAGAACGUCGCGAGACAGUUCGGUCCCUAUCUGUUGUGGGCGUUGGAAGUUUGAGUGGAUCUGACCUUAGUACGAGAGGACCGGGUUGGACAGACCUCUGGUGAACCUGUUAUGCCGCCAGGUGUACGGCAGGGUAGCUACGUCUGGAAUAGAUAAGCGCUGAAAGCAUCUAAGUGCGAAACUAGCCACGAGAUGAGACUUCCUUAUAGGGUCGUAGGAGAUGACUACGUUGAUAGGCCAUAGGUGUAAAGGUUGAGAGACCAAAGCCAAGUGGUACUAAUAGCCCGAAGCUUUCUCAAG
rnacentral:rRNA from 2 species